CCUACGGGAGACAGCAGUGGGGGAUAUUGCACAAUGGGGGAAACCCUGAUGCAGCGACGCCGCGUGAGUGAAGAAGGAUUUCGGUAUGUAAAGCUCUAUCAGCAGGGAAGAAAAAAGACGGUACCUGACGAAGAAGCCCCGGCUAACUACGUGCCAGCAGCCGCGGUAAGACGGAGGGGGCAAGCGUUCUCCGGAUUUACUGGGUGUAAAGGGAGCGUAGACGGCAAUACAAGUCGGAAGUGAAAUACCCGGGCUCAACCUGGGAAUUGCUUUGGAAACUGUCUGGCUGGAGUGCUGGAGGGGUACGCGGCCUUCCUCGUGUAGCGGUGCACUGCGUAGAUCUUAGGCGGAACCCCAGUGGCGACGGCGGCUUACUGGACCGUAUCUGACGUUGCUGCUCGAACGCGUGGGGAGCAAACAGGCUUAGCUACCCCUGUAGUC
rnacentral:rRNA from 1 species